CUGGCUCAGAGUGAACGCUGGCGGCGUGCCUAAUACAUGCAAGUCGAACGAUGAAGCKUCUAGCUUGCUAGAGUGCUGAUUAGUGGCGCACGGGUGAGUAACGCAUAGGUUAUGUGCCUCUUAGUUUGGGAUAGCCAUUGGAAACGAUGAUUAAUACCAGAUACUCCCUACGGGGGAAAGAUUUAUCGCUAAGAGAUCAGCCUAUGUCCUAUCAGCUUGUUGGUAAGGUAAUGGCUUACCAAGGCUAUGACGGGUAUCCGGCCUGAGAGGGUGAACGGACACACUGGAACUGAGACACGGUCCAGACUCCUACGGGAGGCAGCAGUAGGGAAUAUUGCUCAAUGGGGGAAACCCUGAAGCAGCAACGCCGCGUGGAGGAUGAAGGUUUUAGGAUUGUAAACUCCUUUUGUUAGAGAAGAUAAUGACGGUAUCUAACGAAUAAGCACCGGCUAACUCCGUGCCAGCAGCCGCGGUAAUACGGAGGGUGCAAGCGUUACUCGGAAUCACUGGGCGUAAAGAGCGCGUAGGCGGGAUAGUCAGUCAGGUGUGAAAUCCUAUGGCUUAACCAUAGAACUGCAUUUGAAACUACUAUUCUAGAGUGUGGGAGAGGUAGGUGGAAUUCUUGGUGUAGGGGUAAAAUCCGUAGAGAUCAAGAGGAAUACUCAUUGCGAAGGCGACCUGCUGGAACAUUACUGACGCUGAUUGCGCGAAAGCGUGGGGAGCAAACAGGAUUAGAUACCCUGGUAGUCCACGCCCUAAACGAUGGAUGCUAGUUGUUGGAGGGCUUAGUCUCUCCAGUAAUGCAGCUAACGCAUUAAGCAUCCCGCCUGGGGAGUACGGUCGCAAGAUUAAAACUCAAAGGAAUAGACGGGGACCCGCACAAGCGGUGGAGCAUGUGGUUUAAUUCGAAGAUACACGAAGAACCUUACCUAGGCUUGACAUUGAGAGAAUCCGCUAGAAAUAGUGGAGUGUCUGGCUUGCUAGACCUUGAAAACAGGUGCUGCACGGCUGUCGUCAGCUCGUGUCGUGAGAUGUUGGGUUAAGUCCCGCAACGAGCGCAACCCCCUUUCUUAGUUGCUAACAGGUCAUGCUGAGAACUCUAAGGAUACUGCCUCCGUAAGGAGGAGGAAGGUGGGGACGACGUCAAGUCAUCAUGGCCCUUACGCCUAGGGCUACACACGUGCUACAAUGGGGUGCACAAAGAGAAGCAAUACUGCGAAGUGGAGCCAAUCUUCAAAACACCUCUCAGUUCGGAUUGUAGGCUGCAACUCGCCUGCAUGAAGCUGGAAUCGCUAGUAAUCGCAAAUCAKCCAUGUUGCGGURAAUACGUUCCCGGGUCUUG
rnacentral:rRNA from 1 species